GCCUUUGGAAAGGCUGAGACUCAAGUAUCUCUCUCUUCUUUCCCCUCAGACGAUUGCCUACAGCAUUUUAUGGGACUUGAAGUUUUUGAUGAGAUUGUCCAGAACAUCGUGGGCACAGCUCUGAUGAUUUUAGUGGCCAUUGGUUUUAAAACCAAGCUGGCUGCUUUGACUCUUGUUGUGUGGCUCUUUGCCAUCAACGUAUAUUUCAACGCCUUCUGGACCAUUCCAGUCUACAAGCCCAUGCAUGACUUCCUGAAAUACGACUUCUUCCAGACCAUGUCGGUGAUCGGGGGCUUGCUCCUGGUGGUGGCCCUGGGCCCUGGGGGUGUCUCCAUGGAUGAGAAGAAGAAGGAGUGGUAACAGUCACAGAUCCCUACCUGCCUGGCUAAGACCCGUGGCC
rnacentral:sRNA from 1 species